GCAGGAGCUAGAGAGCAGUGGUCUCCGCGCCGGCCCGGUCCGCCGCUUCUGGUGCUCCGGCGGCUGCAGCUCCAGAACGGGUGGUUGGGGAGGGGGGUGGGGGGACGCCAGGCAGGUGGGGUGCGAAAGCGAUGAGUCCUCGGCUCUUCCUCCUCCUCCUCCGGGACCCGCUCUCUGCCUCCCGCUCCAACGCCCGGAUGAUCUGAACCGCGAGGGCGCCGAGAGCCGGGGGCCCGGACGCAGCCCGGCUCCUCCCCUCCUCCGCCCCCUCCCCGGCCCGCCGCCGCCGCCGCCGCCGAGACCCCCUCCUCGCCCCUUCCCCGGCCGCUGUUGCUGCCGUCGCCGCCGUCUUGGCCGACCAGGGACCUGCCCGCCCGCGGCUGCUCCGGACCUAGAGGAUCAAGACAUAAUGGGAGCAUUUUUAGACAAGCCAAAGAUGGAAAAACAUAAUGCCCAGGGGCAGGGUAAUGGGUUGCGAUAUGGGCUAAGCAGCAUGCAAGGUUGGCGUGUUGAAAUGGAGGAUGCACAUACAGCUGUGAUCGGUUUGCCAAGUGGACUUGAAACAUGGUCAUUCUUUGCUGUGUAUGAUGGGCAUGCUGGUUCUCAGGUUGCCAAAUACUGCUGUGAGCAUUUGUUAGAUCACAUCACCAAUAACCAGGAUUUUAAAGGGUCUGCAGGAGCACCUUCUGUGGAAAAUGUAAAGAAUGGAAUCAGAACAGGUUUUCUGGAGAUUGAUGAACACAUGAGAGUUAUGUCAGAGAAGAAACAUGGUGCAGAUAGAAGUGGGUCAACAGCUGUGGGUGUCUUAAUUUCUCCCCAACAUACUUAUUUCAUUAACUGUGGAGACUCAAGAGGUUUACUUUGUAGGAACAGGAAAGUUCACUUCUUCACACAAGAUCAUAAACCAAGUAAUCCGCUGGAAAAAGAACGAAUUCAGAAUGCAGGUGGCUCUGUAAUGAUUCAGCGUGUGAAUGGUUCUCUGGCUGUAUCAAGGGCCCUUGGGGAUUUUGAUUACAAAUGUGUCCAUGGAAAAGGUCCUACAGAGCAGCUUGUCUCACCAGAACCUGAAGUUCAUGAUAUUGAAAGAUCUGAAGAAGAUGAUCAAUUCAUUAUUCUUGCAUGUGAUGGUAUCUGGGAUGUUAUGGGAAAUGAAGAGCUUUGUGAUUUUGUAAGAUCCAGACUUGAAGUCACUGAUGAUCUUGAGAAAGUUUGCAAUGAAGUAGUCGACACCUGUUUGUAUAAGGGAAGUCGAGACAACAUGAGUGUGAUUUUGAUCUGUUUUCCAAAUGCACCCAAAGUAUCACCAGAAGCAGUGAAGAAGGAGGCAGAGUUGGACAAGUACCUGGAAUGCAGAGUAGAAGAAAUCAUAAAGAAGCAGGGAGAAGGCGUCCCCGACUUAGUCCAUGUGAUGCGCACAUUAGCAAGUGAGAACAUCCCCAGCCUCCCACCAGGGGGUGAAUUGGCAAGCAAGCGGAAUGUAAUUGAAGCUGUUUACAAUAGACUGAAUCCUUACAAAAAUGAUGACACUAGCUGUUCACUGCACCCAUUCUCUUACACACACCCCUGAUUGAUUGCUCUGAACUCUGCUUGCUCUGAUCUCUGCCUGCACCACAGUACUAGUGAUUGAGGACAUAAUCUUGGACUCAGCAUCAACUGAUGACAUGUGGUAAAACUACUCAUCUAGCCGUGGAGUUUACCUUCACUUCCAAAGGAGAGUACAACUCAACUUUGUUGAACCUUUUAGCAUCCAGCCUCAACUUAAGGAAGGGGAUAUGGCAUGGGUGAGAGUGAUUACACCAGAGAACUUCAGCAGUACAACAGCUAGCCCAGAACUGAUUUUUCUUUCUUUUUUUUUUCUUUUUUUUUUUUUUUUUUGUAAAUUUGAGACUUAUGUAAACGUGAUUUCAAACCAUAAUUCAUGUUGUAAAUCAGACUCCAGCAAUUUUUGUUGUAUGAUUUUGUUUUUUUGUAAAGUGUAAUUGUCCUUGUACAAAAUGCUCAUAUUUAAUUAUGAACUGCUUUAAAAUCACUAUUGAAGAUACAAGAAAUGUUUGGCUUGUUGUGUGAUGCAACAGAUAUAUAGCCCUUCAAGUCAUGUUAUGUUUGGAUUUGGGGUUGGGACAGGGAGAGCAGCAGCCAUGUCAGCUAGGUGCUCAAACAUGCACAUGAUUAUGGAGAAGAAUUUCAAAAUCUUACAAAGCUGAAUAUCCCAGGAGUUAUGGAAAACUAUCUUAAUGUUCUUGGCAAGGGAUUGGCAUUGUUGAUAAAGCCACUCUCUUCAUUUAACUAUUUUUCAGGAUGUUCUCUCCUUGUUGCCGUGAGUAUUGCAGGUAAUACAGUAUAUUCAUAAGAAUAUCAAUCUUGGGGCUACAAUGCCUUGAUUCUUUGCACCUCUUUUACAAGUCCUUACAUUUAAUUACUAAUUGAUAAGCAGCAGCUUCCUACAUAUAGUAGGAGACUGCCACAUUUUUGCUAUCAUGAUUGGCUGGGCCUGCUGCUGUUCCUAGAUAUUCUGAAUUCCAUUUUAUCAAUAAAGCUUGAUUUAACAAACAAGAAAUUUAAUCAUGUAUGUGUAAUUCCUCUUUUACCCCGGCCUUUUAAAACACCAUACCAUUGUAAACGAGAAGUUUUCUCAUAGGGAAAGAUGUUAGUCUCUUUUAAUUGGACAAUACUAUUUCAGGCACAGAAGACAUUGUUUUCCUUCCAUUAGAAAAACUAAAAGAUUUAAGUCUCUCUUAUUCCUUAAUUUGUUUUUAAAAUAAAUUUCUUUCAGGCUGCUUACUUUUCAUUAAGAUAUACAUUAGCUUGAAUUUGCCUACUGUUUAAUUAAAAUAAUUGUCAAAGUUUGACAAUCUAACACUCUAUGGUAGGUACCUGUGUGUUUGUGUGUGUUUGCCUGUGACUUUUAAUUGGCCCAUGUCUUUAGAAUCCAAGUGGUUAAGAUGUAUUUGUGAUUUGAAAUAUAGCAUGUUGAUAAUAUUUAGCUGUUGGCCUUUAAAAAUAAAUUUCAAAGCUUAAGGAAUUGUAGAUAUAAACAUACCUAAUUUAAUUUAGGCUUAAAUUCUUCUGAUUAAGCAUGUGAAAGUAAGUUUUACAAUCUGUCACAUUGAAAAGACUACUGUUCUGUGCCCUUCUGUAUUUUUGUCUUUCUAGGUUGAAUAUUGUAUUUAUUAUCAUGUAAAUGAACCAGUAGUAGGCAGAUUCUCCACUAGGAAACUAUUAAAAUGUAAGAUUAAAAUACAACAUUAAAUACAAAAUCAGAAGUUUGUGUAUAAAGUUAGUAUAAAACUUUUUGUUUUAUUUGUUUCCCCCCCCUAACUUGGAAAUAUACAUAUUUGUAUAUAUAGCCUUAAAGCUAAUGUAAAGUUAGGGAAAUAUAGGAAAAGUAAUGUGAAAUGUCUCAGAUUUAAGUAGUUACAUACCAGCAACCUCUUUUCAGUAUCUCCCUUAUUUGUGAGGUAAUUAAAUGUAAUUUAAUUGUAUUUAAUUUAUCUCUUAAUCCAGCAUGAACGAAGAAAAACUGAAGUACUAUUUACAUUUAGAAAUUUCGACAAGUUGGAGUUACAGAACUAAUUUCUUACUUAACUUACAAUAAAUGCUUAAUGUCUAAAUCUGUGGUAGAGUGCGAAGUAUGAUAAUGUUCUAAGUUAUGACUUUGCAAGCAUUUAAUGUGCACUUAAUGAAUAUCAGUGCUACUAGUAUAAAUUGAUUACCAAACAUGCCAGUACUGAAAGCUGAAUCCCUAUCACAACAAACCAGUUCCUUGACUUUAAUGAUAACUGAAAGUUUUUAGUUUCAGAAUUUUCAAAAUGUCGAACUGGAUUGUGGUAGCUUUUGAGAUGCAAAACUUGAACCAUAAGUAAAACAUGAUGGAAAGCUAUAUUUCAAACCAUAAUAGUACAGCAUAUCUAUAAUCUUUUUUGAGAGUCUUUAAACAAAAAAGAGAAAAUCAAUAUACUCCUGUUAAAAUUAUUCAUAUUGAAAUUGGCUGGAAAUAAGAGAAAACUGUGUUUAAGUGUGAUUUGAGAAGACUAAAUCUUUUCCACAUGAGUCAACACUGCCAUACUAGAUAUAACUUUUCAUUGUAAAAAUACAGAAAGGAACUAAAUAUUGUAAUAGCAGACUGCUUGACUCCUGGGGUAAUGGUCAUGGUGAGAAACCAGCCACACUUAAAAGGCACUUUUGCACUUCUUCAGUGCACUUCAUUUUUGUACCUCUUAAAUUCUCAACCCCCACUCUUUUUUAAUACUAAUUAGCAUCUCAGGGCAUUGCCUCAGAAUUUUUGGAUGUAUUCUGGUUUUUUUUUUUUUUUUGUGGGGGAGGGAGGGAGGAGUUCUUGCCUGAUAAUGUAGAUUUAUUAAGAUUAAACUUUCAUUUAAAUACCAUAUUAUGAUAAGCCCAAUUUACUUCUGUUAGCCAGAAAUUCAGUUUUGUAUAGCAGACUCUUACUAAAAUUAAAAAAACUUCAUUUACCUAUUUCUUAUUGUUUUAACAAGGUAAGAUCUCCUAAUUUCCACCUUCUUUAGGAAUAUACUUUUACAGAUAAAAGAAAUAGUUCUCUGUAUUAGUAUUAUCUUCUAAAAAAAAUCCAAGUGGUACUUACUCAGUUUUAGAUCCAUCUUCAAACAUUUUUAAUUGUAGCACAUUAAUUUGUUUCUAGAGAAUUAUUGCAGUUGCUCCAGCUUAAUUUUUUAUGCAAAUAUCGUAACAUUAAGAAAUCUGGAUUAGAGAAUAAAUCAGUUAUAUACUUCAAAUAAUCAGAAUUCCAGUGAUCAUGCAUUUGACCAUAUAUUAAUCUAGCUAAUAACUCAGUUUUUCCACAAAGUGUUUUGAUUGUUACCUACAAAACACUGAUCUAGGUUAAAUUCAAGACUAUAAAUAGAUUAAGUGGGACCUUAUCUUCAAAGAGUUUGCAUUUGAGCAGAACUAAUAAUCUAAAGUAUAUUAGUAUUAUAACUGGAUCACUCAUCAAAAAAAAAAAAAAUAGACAUAUAUGUUGCCUACCUUCUGUUUGCCAGGAAUUUUCCUGAACAAAAGGCAUGCCUCUGCCCUAAAGAGCUCAUUUUGCUUCUUUUAUUCACCUGAAAACUCUUCUGUUUAUUUUCUCCUCCCCAAAGCUAAACAAUCUCAUUCAAAAGAAAAUUUAUCUUAGCAUAAGAAUAGAAUUAGACUGAUGAAGCAAGGCUUAAGUCUAUUUAGUAUUCUGAAUUGUCUAAAAUGAAUGACCAUCACUUAUCCUGUUGGCAGCAGCAAGUCAGAAAUAAGUAGUGGAUUGCAUAGAAUUCUCUAACCCUGGGAAUACAGAUGGGGUUUGAGUUUAGGGCAUUUAAAAAAUAUGUAUCUCUAGCUAAACUGAUUUUAUUUAAGUAAAUCUCUGUCUUCUUUUCUUUAUCACACUGUGCCCAUGUUGACAAAUUUUAGCCAAAUGAUUACCAUGCAUUUGUAUAUUUUAAAAUCACUACCCAUCGUUACUGGGCAAAUUCAUCUGGGCAUUCAACAUGUGAUUUCUGGAGAAAAAAAAAAAACUUAUGAAAUUAGGUACUGCUUUCCUUCUAGUUUUUAUUUUAAUUUUGAAUUUCAUGGCAUAUACUUUUAGCUCAACUCUGCUAUUUUUACAUUAUUAGGAUUUGGUACUAGAAAAGAUAUGUAAACAUUUCAGUAUAUAAAUAUUUAUUCUUUGAAGGGACCUUAGGGAGUUUCAUAUACUUUUGCUUACAAAUACUGCUAAUGAGCUGGCCAUUUUUUAAUUGAGUGACUAGUCAUAGUUUUUCUUUUAGGCAUCAGGCAAUCUUCAUGUUUUAACAUUUUUAGAAGCCUAAUUUUACUGUAUUUCCUUCAAUGAUGUGCCAUGUGUUUUUGUUAGCAUCUGUUUUAAAUUAUAUAUUCAGAGUAUGCUUGAAAUAUUUAAGAACACAUUUUCUAAAUGUAUGAUACUGUAUGUUGGUCAAAAAUAUAUCAGUUGAGUGUUAGUUAUCAUUCUACAGAAAUAAGGAGAGGCAUUGGCUCUGCUUUAUUGUCAAGAGCAUUUUUCAUUUUUGUUCACCUCAACACAGUCUCUUCCUUUUACCUGUUUUGUAAGCUAGUGGCCUCUGCUCUCACUGUUUCCUGUUUAUAUUAACCAGUGAGUGGGGAUGCUAAUUGGAAAAACUCAAGAUUCAACCUAUCUUGUAUGAGAUGGGCGAAAGGAUUAAGUAAAAAAAAAACAAAAACAAAGUGAAAUAAAUUUUUUUCUUCCUUAUCCUGCAUGAAAAUAUUGCCCUCAUUUCCUCUACAUGUGUGUCUGUCUGUCUGUCUGUCUGUCUCUCACCACCAUUGCCCCCCCCCCCCCUUCCAAACAGGCCAAUUUCAUUUUCGUGAGCAGGAAAACUUAAUGCAUUACCUCAUCAAGACCAAUUAGUACUUGUUAAACCAGGCUGAAAAUAAGUAAACUUGGGAUAGAGUGGUAGGAACCUGGACCUGGCUUUAAGUGUUCAAAAACCAUUAUACCAGAUAAGCCAGCAAGAAUCACUGCUUGAGUAUUUAGUUUUUAAAGGAAGAUGAUGGCAAAAGAUACUGAUCCUGCAAUCAUAUAUAAAAAAAGUACUGAUUCCUUAAUAUAGAACUAAGAAAAACACAGUAUUUCUUUACCGUAAAACACAGCCCUUCAGUUACUUUCAUUGCUCCCCAAACCAGUUUUCUACUAAUCAGUUUUUCAUUAAGCUAAAUGUUUAGAAAAAUUGUUUAGUUUUUCUUUUCCUUUUAUGUAGUCCUCCUAGUAAAAAAAAAAAAAAAAAAAAGAGUUUAGGGAUAUUUGCAUUUGUAUGGUACUUUCUGAAGGAAGCUAGAUAUGUAUAAGAUUGAGUAGUUACAGAACAGAAUUAGUACUAUCUUGACUUGGUACAGUGAGUGACAGAAAUUCAUUUUAGCAGGGGUUCUUAACUUUUUGGGAGUCACAGGCCCUUUGAGACAGAUGAAUCAUAAGGACUCCUUCACCCAGGAAAAUGCAUAUAGUAUACAUAAUUCCCUAAAAAUUACAGUGUUGCAGUGGUUCAUUACCUCCCAAUUAAGAUCCCAGAUUAGGGGGGUUGGGGAGAUAGCUCAGUCGGUAGAGUGCUUGCCUUAUAAGCACAAGGCCCUGGGUUCGAUCCCCAGGACCCCCCCCC